UACGUAGGGUGCGAGCGUUAAUCGGAAUUACUGGGCGUAAAGCGUGCGCAGGCGGUUCGUUGUGUCGGUGGUGAAAUCCCCGGGCUUAACCUGGGAACUGCAUUUGUGACUGCAUCGCUGGAGUGCGGCAGAGGGGGAUGGAAUUCCGCGUGUAGCAGUGAAAUGCGUAGAUAUGCGGAGGAACACCGAUGGCGAAGGCAAUCCCCUGGGCCUGCACUGACGCUCAUGCACGAAAGCGUGGGGAGCAAACAGG
rnacentral:rRNA from 1 species